UACGAAGGGGGCUAGCGUUGCUCGGAAUCACUGGGCGUAAAGCGCACGUAGGCGGAUCUUUAAGUCAGGGGUGAAAUCCUGGAGCUCAACUCCAGAACUGCCUUUGAUACUGGGGAUCUCGAGUCCGGAAGAGGUGAGUGGAACUCCGAGUGUAGAGGUGAAAUUCGUAGAUAUUCGGAAGAACACCAGUGGCGAAGGCGGCUCACUGGCCCGGUACUGACGCUGAGGCACGAAAGCGUGGGGAGCAAACAGG
rnacentral:rRNA from 1 species